rnacentral:tRNA from 1 species
GACCCUUUCAUCUAGUGGCCAAGGAUACCACCCUUUCUCGGUGGAAACGAGAGUUCAAAUCUUUCAAGGGUCGCCA